CGGGUACGCCGCCCAGUGUCCCGCUUGCAUUCCCUGGACACGUCCGGCUCCUCCUGGAUUACUAGGAUCUUAUCGUCAUUCAGAUGAACGUGGUACUUUCAGGCAUUUGGAAAUUGCUCCCAAGGAUGAACCAAACUUGUAGAGGUCUACUAUUUUUUUUCUGAGGUCUUGGCUGAUUUCUUUUGAUUUUCCCAUGAUGUCAAGCAGAGGCAUUGAGUUUGAAGGCUCACCUGUGUCCAUAAAGGCCAGAGACUGGGGACAAGAUGAAGACGUCAUGGCCACUGUCCAGCGUAGAGGACAUCCCCAUGGUCCCCAUGCUGUUGGGCGGGGUGUUGGAGUCACUGUUGGGACUGGUGGGGAUGGGCUGUAGGGACAAGGGUGGAGUCAUGUAGACAGCAGGACUGUAGUAGUAUGAGACAAUUUCCUAAAUGUAAUCAUUUUUCAUUCAUGGCAUCGUAUGUCAAGAUUCAUGAGUAAAAUCCUAUAGAAUUGCAUACUCCAUGUUUGAGCUAAUAGAGGAUUGUGGUGCAAUGUCCCACAGUUCACUUAGUUUACUUAACACAGUGGCACAUAAUAAACACUAUGCUAGUGAAAAGGAUAGGAUGCUUUGUUGAAUGAAGUUAUUGAGACAAGGAGAGGAUGUGAAAUGGCUCUUAUUAACAACAGCAAUCUCGUCCAUAGCAACCAAGAAAUUCUUGAGAGAGGUCUGUUGGAAACUAUGGAUGGGAUAACAACAAGACCCCUAGCAACAAGGGAUUAUGUGAUAACGACUAUACAUCAUUAAUGUCAAGAUGUGUCAAGUGUGGUGAGCAUGAGCCAUCUCGCCCCAGGAGAUGCACUUUGAAGUGUAACCUACUGUGAUGACUAAACCCUUUGACCAACAACAUCUGAUUGGUAAAGGUCCUGUGACCAUCACCUUCCGAUGUGAACAACUACAUUUUCAUAUAUUUUCCUUUUCCUCUUUUGAGUCUACUUCUAAGAUGAAUCAAAUCAAAUGUAAUUUGUCACAUGCGCUGAAUACAACAGGUGUAGAACUUACUGUGAAAUUCUUAGUUACAAGCCCUUAACCAACAAUACAGUUCAAGAGACAUGCGCGGACAGCAUGUCAUGACACUUUUUGUUUUUUUGUGUAACAGAUGUUUCUUUCCAUUCACCACUGUUUGGAGGCUGUAAAUACACUACAUGGCCAAAAAGAUGUGGACACCUGCUCAUAUGUCAUGCCCUGCCCUUAGUUAUCUUUGUUUUCUUUAUUAUUUUGGUUAGGUCAGGGUGUGACAUGGGGGAUUUAUGUGUUUUGUAUGUUUAUGGGGCUGUUCCCUUUCUAGGUAGUUGGUAUGUCUAUGGUUGCCUAGAUUGGUUCUCAAUUAGAGGCAGCUGUCUAUCGUUGUCUCUGAUUGGGAACCAUAUUUAGGCAGGCAUAUUCUGUGGGUACUUUGUGGGUGGUUGUCUUCUGUUUUUGUGUCAUUGCACCAGAUAGGACUGUUUCGGUUUUCACAUUUGUUAUGUAUUUUGUAGUGUUCUCGUGUAUGGUCUUGAUUAAACAUGUUGAAC